rnacentral:rRNA from 1 species
GUCUACGGCCGUGCCACCCUGAAGAAGCCUGAUCCCGUCUGAUCUCAGAAGCUAAGCAGGGUUGGGCCUGGUUAGUACUUGGAUGGGAGACCAUCUAGGAAGACCAGAUGCUGUAGGCG